UCCCUUUUUCUUUUCCUUCUUUCUUUUUUUCUUCUCUUCUUCCUUUGGUUCUCAGCAAGUGGAUAUUGUUUCCCUUCUAUUUCCAAAACAAGGGAGCAUUGUUGACUUGGCUAUGGCCGACUGUAGCUAGGACUGUGAUGGCAUAGUCGAUGGAUCCUAGAUCAGUGGUUGGCAAUGACAUCCUAGUCCAUUAAUCUAGGUUAUCCAAUUGCUCAACCAUAAUUCAAGAAUCAUACUAGGAUACAAGAAUGC
rnacentral:lncRNA from 1 species